CGGCGUCAGAAAAAAGAGACUUCCAUCAGGGACCUUUCUUCUUACUCUUUCCGUUUCUUUUGCUGGACUACAACUCCCAGCAUCCCCCGGGGGCUCCACUUUCAUAGCUCUACGGCAGGCGCCGGCGACGUCGCUCCCUGUGACGUCAAAGCCGCGCGCGCAUCGGCGAUGGGCGGGGGUUUGCCCUCUCAGGGCCGGUUCUGCGCAUGCGCGGACCGCGAUUUGAGGCCUAGUCGGCAUCCCGGACCUCGGUGUUUCCUGAAUGACCUCGCCGGCCAAGCCAUGAGCGGGGCGGCGUUGGUGGGCUACAGCAGCUCGGGGUCGGAAGACGAGGGCGGCUCCUCUUCCUCGGGCGGCGGCGGCGGCGCUGGGACGACUUCUUCCCCUUCGAGCGCAUCUGCCCCCCGGCUCCAUGUUCCAGAGAGUGUGCUCAAGAUGUUCAGAGACCAGGAGGAGAGGGAAGCGGUGGAGGACGACAGCAGCAAACACGGAGGACGCCUCAGGACUUUCCCCCAUGAGCCAGGCAACUGGGCGACACACGUUUACGUCCCUUAUGAGGCUGAGGAGGAUUUCCUGGAUCUGCUGCAGCUCCUUCUCUCACAUGCGCGCACAUGCGUGGCUUCUCUGACCGCCAUGACCGAAUUCCACAUCAGCCUCUCUCAAGUUGUGGUCCUGCGCUAUCACUGGAUAAACCCUUUUGUCCAGUCUCUCAAGGAGCGCCUGGUCUCCUUCCCCAAGUUCAUCUGCAGAGCAGACCAAGUGAAAGUUUACACUAACCAGACCAAAACCAGAACCUUCAUUGGCUUGGAGGUCUCUUCGGGGCAUCCAGAGUUUUUGGAGUUGGUGUCUGAAGUAGACAGAGUUAUGGAGGAGUUUAGCCUGACAACUUUUUACAAGGUGAAGGUUUGUGCUUUUUCAAGGAGGGGAGUCAGGGAGAAAGACAACGGAAGUCUUGCUGCUGGCCAGUGAGAAAGGCUCUUGAAUGGGACCUGGGCUCAGGCAGAGUCAGGUUUCCAGAAGGAGAGGAAGGAAUCCCAGGAGGGGUGGAGAAUCUCUGUAACCAUUCUGGAUCCUGAUCCAAGCUCAGCCAAGUUCAAGGAUCUGCAGAGUGAGGGCCACAGGUGCAACAAAGCGGUGGUUUAAUUGUUACACCUAAAUGCUGAAAGAGAAGCAGGAAUAACACCCCAAGACAAAGGCGACAGACACAUCCCUUCAGAUGAGAGAAGCAUCCCUCCCCAGCAGUGUACCAGACAUCACCCAGAGACCCAGGCCAGUUUGUGUUCAAAUCCUAAAUACCUUUUCUCUCCUGAAAGUGCUGGCACUUCCAUGGGCCAAGAGCGAAGCCAUCCCACUCUAAAAAAAGAACAGUUUCUCAGGCAUUCCAAAGCUGAGCAGCCUUAUCUCCGCAGAGCACACUGACCUUUGCGUUGCUCAGGCAGCUGUAGCUGAAUGAAAAGCUAUGUUAAUAUUAGAGGCUGGUUUUAUUAGCUAGCAAAAUGCUCAUUUACUGGAUCUUAAGUGCAUCAGAGUCAUGCGUAGAGAUGUAUGUAAGAGCUUACUAGCGCUUCUUGCCAUUUUAACUGACUCGGGGUGACCAGACAUCCUACUAUUCCAGGACAUUUCCUGCAUUUCAACCUUAGGUCCAGGAGGAAUUUUCAAAUUGCCUCCUUUUUUGAGCAUGACUGAGAAGCAUGAAUUUAUAUGAAUUUAGCUUUUAUUUUGCAAGGGCCUACACUGUUCUUGAAUGUCUCUACACUUUGCAAGUGAGUGUCCUACUUUACAGUUAUGACAUCUGGUUACCCUGAACUCACUGUAGUCUCUUCAAGAGGUUGUUUGCCCUCCAGCUGAAAUUCCUCUGACAUGUCUGUGGCUGCUGGUAUCUCACUUCAUGCUCCUUGCUUUAGGGUUGCCUUUCCAUACCUAACACACACCCUCCAGAUGGGUUGAAUCACAGCUCCCAUCAUCCCCAUGCAGCUUAGCCAGCCAAGGGUUGUCCUAUAAUCAUCUUUCUAGAAAAGGCAGGGGGUGGUGCUCAUAUUCCCAUGCACAGAUUUCAGCUGGACAGGGAUGCCUGACUGUUUGACUCCCUGUGGGUUUUGGCUCUUCCUUGUUUUGGUACAGAACCCCUCCUUCCACCUCAGCCUGGCCUGGUGUGUUGGAAAUCACUCUGAAGCCCUGGAAGGCCGGUAUCUUCGUGAGCUCCAGGAGAUAGUGGAUGGCUUUGAGGACUCUUCGUCCAUCUUACGAAUUCCCGCAACAGAAGUCCGCUGC